rnacentral:rRNA from 1 species
CGUAGGCGCAAGCGUUAUCCGGAAUUAUUGGCGUAAGAGCUCGUAGGCGGUUGUCGCGUCUGCCGUGAAAGUCCGAGGCUCAACUUCGGAUCUGCGGUGGUACGGGCAGACUAGAGUGAUGUAGGGAGACUGGAAUUCCUGGUGUAGCGGUGAAAUGCGCAGAUAUCAGGAGGAACACCGAUGGCGAAGGCAGGUCUCUGGGCAUCUACUGACGCUGAGGAGCGAAAGCAUGGGAGCGAACAGGAUU